GGAAACGACUGCUAAUACCCAAUAAGCCGAGAGGUAAAAGAUUUAUCGCUCGAAGAGGGGCUCGCGUCCGAUUAGCUAGUUGGUGGGGUAAAGGCUUACCAAGGCAGCGAUCGGUAGCUGGUCUGAGAGGACGAGCAGCCGCACUGGGACUGAGACACGGCCCAGACUCCUACGGGAGGCAGCAGUGGGGAAUUUUCCGCAAUGGGCGCAAGCCUGACGGAGCAAUACCGCGUGAGGGAGGAAGGCUUUUGGGUUGUAAACCUCUUUUCUCAAGGAAGAACACAAUGACGGUACUUGAGGAAUCAGCAUCGGCUAACUCCGUGCCAGCAGCCGCGGUAAUACGGAGGAUGCAAGCGUUAUUCGGAAUUAUUGGGCGUAAAGCGUCCGCAGGUGGUGUUUCAAGUCUGCUGUCAAAGACCGAAGCUUAACUUCGGGUAGGCGGUGGAAACUGAAACACUAGAGUACGGUAGGGGUAGAGGGAAUUUCCAGUGUAGCGGUGAAAUGCGUAGAGAUUGGAAAGAACACCAGUGGCGAAGGCGCUCUACUGGACCGUAACUGACACUCAGGGACGAAAGCU
rnacentral:rRNA from 1 species